CAGGACUUGAAAAAAAAGAAGGAAAAGCAACAAAGGCAGCAGUGCAAGAUAAACCAAAGAUGAAACAAGGAAAUCCUGGAAAAGAGAAAGAAUUAAAAUCUCCAGCUGCCACAAAAGAUAAAGAACAUGCUAAAGAAAAGGGAGAAAAGAAUCC